AACAUUGAUACAAACAAAGCAAGCAAGCCAAACAAACCUUUGCCUUGCUUGCAUUAUGAAAAGAGCUGUAAUGAAAAACAACCUAAAACAAUUUAAAAUUAGUCAGUGUGUGGGCUAGUCAUGAUUUACAUUGGAAACAACCAUAGCCAGUAAAUCUGCCAGCAUAGAUAUUGCUUUUGAAAAACAAUUUCUUUUUGGAUAUUUCAAGAGAUGAACUUUCAUUUACAACAUGCAAUCCUUGACAGUGGUAAAAUAAUGCAUUGAAAAACAAACGAAAAGCUUGUCAUUUAUUGUACAUACCAGAUACAUAUUUUCUGAAAAUUGACAUUAUUUUACACUACGAAAGGUAAUGGAAUAUAAGCAGAAGUAUAAGAAGGAUUGAAUUAAAGGAUGGGCAGAUUAAACAGACUUGAGUGUGUCUAAAAAUGCUUUCAGUCUGUAUGUGCAAUUUUGCAAUUUAUUUUUUCUUUUUAUUGAUAUGAAUUUGAAACAUACAUUUAAAGGUAUGUGUGUAUUAUCUGUUUGCAGAUAGAUUUCUAGAUAAAAUAGCUUGAGCAUUUUCCUUUUUUUUUUUGUCAUUUUUCUUGCCUUUGUCUUCUUUUUCAUUUAUAAAGCUUAUUGGAACAGAAGUGUAAAACCAGGAAUCAAAUAAUUGAGGUAAUAAUAUAAAUUACCCCUCUCUCAACCAUUAUUCUAGUUUCCAGACAAUAACUUUGUGUUCAAGUGUAUGGAUCUCUCUGAAAUUGUACUGCAAGGUACCAUACCACAAAGGGAAGGCUGGGAUUGAUUUUGGGGGUAAUUGCCUCAAAAGUUUAGGAAUUGGGGGCCAAAAAGCGGCAAAAAACAAGCAUUUUUCUAGUUUCAGGACAAUAACUUGUGUUCAAGUGUAUGGAUCUUUAUGAAAUUGUACUGCAAGGUUCCAUAUCUUAAAGGGAAAGCUGGAAUUGAGCUUGGGGGUAAUUGCCUAAAAAGUUUAGGAAUAAGGGGCCAAAAAUAAGCAUUUUUCUAGUUUCCAGACAAUAACUUGUGUUCAAGUGUAUGGAUCUCUAUGAAAUUGUACUGCAAUGUACCAUAUCACAAAGGGAAGGCUGGGAUUGAUUUUGGGGGUAAUUCCCUCAAAAUUUUAGUAAUUAGGGGCCAUAAAAGGGCAAAAAAACAAGCAUUUUUCUAGUUUCAGGACAAUAACUUGUGUGUAAGUGUAUGGAUCUCUCUGACAUUGUAUCACAAGGUUCCAUAUCACAAAGGGAAUGCUGGGAUUGAUUUUGGGGGUAAUUGCCUCCAAAUUUGAGGAAUUAGGGGCCAAAAAGGGGCAAAAAACAAGCAUUUUUCUAGUUUCAUGACAAUAACUUGUGUGUAAGUGUAUGGAUCUUUAUGAAAUUGUACUACAAGGUUCCAUAUCACAAAGAGAAGGCUGGGAUUGAGUUUGGGGGUGAUGAAUUAUAAGGGGGUUCAAAAAAUUUGGGGGGGGGGGGAUUUUUUUUCCCUUUUUUUUCUUUAAAAUUUUCCAUUUUAAAUUGGUUAUUUCUGAUUUAUAUAUAAAAGCAAAUAAUAAUGAUAUGGUCUGAAUAGGUAAAUUAAAAAAUUUUAAGUUCUUAGACCACUUUCAUUCUGUGUCAGAAACCUAUGCUGUGUCAAAUAUUUAAUUACAAUCCAAAUUCAUUGCUGUAUCAAGCUUGAAUGUUGUGUUCAUACUUGCCCCAACUGUUCAGGGUUCGACCUCUCCGGUCGUAUCAAGCUGCGCCCCAGCGGAGCAUUUUAUUAGAGGAUAUUUUAAUUGUCAAUUAAAGAUUCUCUAAGAGUUUCUUAAAAAAGUGUUUCUGAUAAAAUCCAAAAGAUUCUUUCCUUUGUUGACAUGAAUCUCAGUUUUGAUAUCUCUCUACUAAGAUUAUUUUAAGAGUGUAUUCCAAAUAAACUUUUAUUUAGUUCGUAUUA